GGGCCCGAGUUGUAAUUUGUAGAGGAUGAUUUUGAUGCGGUGCCUUCCGAGUUCCCUGGAACGGGACGCCAUAGAGGGUGAGAGCCCCGUCUGGUUGGAUGCCAAAUCUCUGUAAAUCUCCUUCGACGAGUCGAGUAGUUUGGGAAUGCUGCUCUAAAUGGGAGGUAUAUGUCUUCUAAAGCUAAAUACCGGCCAGAGACCGAUAGCGCACAAGUAGAGUGAUCGAAAGAUGAAAAGCACUUUGAAAAGAGAGUUAAAAAGUACGUGAAAUUGUUGAAAGGGAAGCGUUUAUGACCAGACUUGGGCUUGGUUAAUCAUCUGGGGUUCUCUCCAGUGCACUUUUCCAGCCCAGGCCAGCAUCAGUUUUCGCCGGGGGAUAAAGACUUCGGGAAUGUGGCUCCCCUCGGGGAGUGUUAUAGCCCGUUGUGUAAUACCCUGGUGGGGACUGAGGUUCGCGCUUCUGCAAGGAUGCUGGCGUAAUGGUCAUCAACGACCCGUCUUGAAACACGGACCAAGGAGUCGUCUUCGUAUGCGAGUGUUCGGGUGUCAAACCCCUACGCGUAAUGAAAGUGAACGCAGGUGAGAGCUUCGGCGCAUCAUCGACCGAUCCUGAUGUUCUCGGAUGGAUUUGAGUAAGAGCAUACGGGGCCGGACCCGAAAGAAGGUGAACUAUGCCUGUGUAGGGUGAAGCCAGAGGAAA
rnacentral:rRNA from 1 species